rnacentral:tRNA from 1 species
AGGUGGUUAGUAUAAAUAAAAUACUUGAUUUCGGCUCAAGAGCUUGUGAUGAAAAUUCACAACCACCCG